rnacentral:rRNA from 1 species
UACGGAGGGUGCGAGCGUUGUCCGGAUUUACUGGGCGUAAAGAGCGCGCAGGCGGUCGUACAAGUCGCGUGUGAAAGCCCCUGGCUCAACUGGGGAGGGUCACGCGAUACUGUUCGACUCGAAGGCAGGAGAGGGAAGUGGAAUUCCCGGUGUAGUGGUGAAAUGCGUAGAUAUCGGGAGGAACACCAGUGGCGAAGGCGACUAACUGGUCCAGAUCUGACGCUGAGGUGCGAAAGCGUGGGGAGCAACAGG